GCCUGGGAUAGCUCAGUUGGUGGAGCGUAAGACCUUUAAUCUCAGGGUUGUGAGUUUGAGCCCUAUGUUGGGUA